rnacentral:rRNA from 1 species
CCUACGGGGGGCUGCAGUGAGGAAUAUUGGUCAAUGGGCGCUAGCCUGAACCAGCCAAGUAGCGUGAAGGAUGACUGCCCUAUGGGUUGUAAACUUCUUUUAUAUGGGAAUAAAGUGCAGUAUGUAUACUGCUUUGCAUGUACCUUAUGAAUAAGGAUCGGCUAACUCCGUGCCAGCAGCCGCGGUAAUACGGAGGAUCCGAGCGUUAUCCGGAUUUAUUGGGUUUAAAGGGAGCGUAGGCGGGUUGUUAAGUCAGUUGUGAAAGUUUGCGGCUCAACCGUAAAAUUGCAGUUGAUACUGGCAGCCUUGAGUACAGUAGAGGUAGGCGGAAUUCGUGGUGUAGCGGUGAAAUGCUUAGAUAUCACGAAGAACUCCGAUUGCGAAGGCAGCCUGCUGGACUGUAACUGACGCUGAUGCUCGAAAGUGUGGGUAUCAAACAGGAUUAGAUACCCCGGUAGUC